AAGUAGUGCGUACUAGAUUUAGUUUUUUUUUCCUCCGUGAAUCUGAUGAGAGCAGAUGGUUGUUGCUGCUCCGGGAGAUUUUAAGCUCUAAAUCCAGCGAAAACUCAUGAUUCAGAGAGAAGCCGUGUAUGUGAGAUUGAUGGUUUGGAACAUUGUCAUCUGAAUUUUCCUGUUCUUCAGAUGCACAUUGUGUGCGAGUUCCUUGGCCAGGUUUUUUUGAUGUGUUUUAUUUCCAUGUGAAUGCUGGAACGUUCGUCUGAGUGCGAUCCAUCUGCUGGUAUUCAAGUGAACUGCGAGUCAAUCCUGGAUUGUGAACCGUCUCAACUCCUCUUUGGAUGUCUUACAGUGGAGGUGGACUGGCGAGCCACCCAAGAACCAAAUCUUGUUUUCCUGUGAAAAGAGAAACCGAAACUGAAUUGUUCACCUUUGAAUGGUAGGACAGAACUGUGCAUUUUCUAAUUGGUUCAUCAGGAAGAUGAUUCCAGAACUGAACGGACUGUUUGAACUGAAUUAAUGGACUGAUUGGGUUCAUUGCAGAGAAAUUUGAUUUGGGAUCAUUGUGAAGUGAGAAUAAUUGUGUGUUUAUGUUAUUUUAUUUCAUUUGAAUCUGGGUAAAAUCCUAUGGUGGAGGUUUAUAGUGAAUGAAGAAAAGUGAAUUAGAGGGUUUACUGGAAAUUGAUUUCACUAAUUAUUUUUAUUAGUGAUUCGUAAUUCUAGGAAAUUGAAUAGAGUUGAUUCUAAAGAAGAGGAAGAGAUAAGAUCAAUAAUUUUGAAUUCAUUUAAAUUUUCAUACGUCAAAUUUCGUUGCUAUAUUGGUUCACAUAAAAUUACAAUUUGUUAACUUACCUGUUGGUCUGAGUGUUCACUGCUGCUGCAUCAUCUCUCUCCUAGAGCGAAUCAAAAUCUUCUGAGCCACUGGUCCAUUAGUGAGUGUGAUCUAGUGAACUUGUCAUUGGGUGCAGGUACAGGUUACACUGGACUCAGACCUGUUCGUGGCAUACCGCCACACGACAUCGAAGUCCAGCGGUCUCAGCAUCCUCAUCUCCGCUGGAGACAGAGGAUCCCUGAGACCGCGGCUGAACAACACCGCCAACUUUGUAUUUUUGAGACAGGAAUAAAACAUGACAUGAUAGUGGAACCAUGACAUAACUUCCACAAAUGUUUUUUCAUUAUUUGUCUGGAGGUGAGUUCUUUGUUUAAGACUGAAGGCUGGGACGAUUCGGAUAAUGUUUACUGUAUACUUAAAUUUGUUAAUUCAUCAGUUAUAUUAGGUCCACCAACCUUUCAUUGUUAAUUGUCUCCCGUGCAAGAAUAAAAAAGGGGUGAUCAUGCUUUUGCAUGUUAGAAAGGCCAUAACUAUUUUAAUUCUAAAAACUAAUUCUACUUUCCAAUACUAUAUAGGAUGGAUAGUACAUGAUUGAAACGCAGACGCGGGGGUGUGUAGAUCGUUCUUCUUCUGAUGCCCAUAUUCAGAGUUUCUAUGCGAGAGCGCCCUCUGGCUUUUGGAUGUGGUGUUAGUUUAUAGGGAAACUGAGCAUAAUAAUUGCAUGAUAUAUGGCCCAGCCCUACUGAAGGGGCAAUGACAUUUUCUUUCAUAUUUUAAGGAACAAACGGCUCUCUUAUAGCUUUUACCUACAGGUGCAUAUAAACAUUCACGAGUGAGUCAGAGGUGAUUCUCACACACUUUAAACAUACAAAGUUUGAAAGUCUGGUGUAUCUUCAGAUCUGAGUGAGUAAGUCAAAGAGCCGCAGGGAGAAGCCAACGUCUCUGAUCACUCUAAUCUCUCUAAGUACCUCCCCUUGUCUCUCUCUCUGGGGAAGAAUUAGGAAAUGUGUUUCGUUCAGUGAGCUUUACAACGCGUCGAAUUAGAGAGAGAGAGAGAGAGAGAGAGAGAGUAAACAACGACUGAGAUAUCAGACCCAGGUAAAGACUGCAGGAUUGAGGUAAAGACAGUUGAUGAUUGUUGUAAGUGUUUAAUCACUUGCUGUGUGAACGCGUAAGUUGUAUUUGAGCUGUGAGUUGUGUAUAUAGACUCUUCACAUUCAUAUGAAUAACAGGACAUUGACAUACUGAAUUAGAUGAAGACUUGAUGUUUCUUUCCUAAAUGUGUGUGUCUGAAUUUAGUUAAAUACAAUUGCAGAUCUAGUAAUGGUUCUAGAGGGUUCUAAUAAUAUAGAAAAGUGCUACAUAAAUAAACUUGAAUUAUUAACUACU